GACGAACGCUGGCGGCGUGCCUAAUACAUGCAAGUAGAACGCUGAAGGAGGAGCUUGCUUCUCCGGAUGAGUUGCGAACGGGUGAGUAACGCGUAGGUAACCUGCCUGGUAGCGGGGGAUAACUAUUGGAAACGAUAGCUAAUACCGCAUAACAGUAGAUGUUGCAUGACAUUUGCUUAAAAGGUGCAAUUGCAUCACUACCAGAUGGACCUGCGUUGUAUUAGCUAGUCGGUGAGGUAACGGCUCACCAAGGCGACGAUACAUAGCCGACCUGAGAGGGUGAUCGGCCACACUGGGACUGAGACACGGCCCAGACUCCUACGGGAGGCAGCAGUAGGGAAUCUUCGGCAAUGGACGGAAGUCUGACCGAGCAACGCCGCGUGAGUGAAGAAGGUUUUCGGAUCGUAAAGCUCUGUUGUAAGAGAAGAACGAGUGUGAGAGUGGAAAGUUCACACUGUGACGGUAUCUUACCAGAAAGGGACGGCUAACUACGU
rnacentral:rRNA from 1 species